rnacentral:rRNA from 1 species
UAGGGAAUCUUCGGCAAUGGACGAAAGUCUGACCGAGCAACGCCGCGUGAGUGAAGAAGGUUUUCGGAUCGUAAAACUCUGUUGUUAGAGAAGAACAAGGACGUUAGUAACUGAACGUCCCCUGACGGUAUCUAACCAGAAAGCCACGGCUAACUACGUGCCAGCAGCCGCGGUAAUACGUAGGUGGCAAGCGUUGUCCGGAUUUAUUGGGCGUAAAGCGAGCGCAGGCGGUUUCUUAAGUCUGAUGUGAAAGCCCCCGGCUCAACCGGGGAGGGUCAUUGGAAACUGGGAGACUUGAGUGCAGAAGAGGAGGGUGGAGUUCCAUGUGUAGCGGUGAAAUGCGUAGAUAUAUGGAGGAACACCAGUGGCGAAGGCGGCUCUCUGGUCUGUAACUGACGCUGAGGCUCGAAAGCGUGGGGGGCAAACAGG